rnacentral:rRNA from 1 species
UACGUAGGCGGCAAGCGUUGUCCGGAAUCAUUGGGCGUAAAGGGAGCGCAGGCGGGAAGGCAAGUCUUCCUUAAAAGUGCGGGGCUCAGCCCCGUGAGGGGGAAGAAACUGUUUUUCUUGAGUGCCGGAGAGGAAAGCGGAAUUCCCAGUGUAGCGGUGAAAUGCGUAGAUAUUGGGAAGAACACCAGUGGCGAAGGCGGCUUUCUGGACGGCAACUGACGCUGAGGCUCGAAAGCCAGGGGAGC